AUUGAACGCUGGCGGCAGGCCUAACACAUGCAAGUCGAACGAGUGGCGGACGGGUGAGUAAUGUAUGGGAAACUGCCCGAUGGAGGGGGAUAACUACUGGAAACGGUAGCUAAUACCGCAUACCAUCAGAUGUGCCCAGAUGGGAUUAGCUAGUUGGUGGGGUAAAGGCUCACCAAGGCGACGAUCCCUAGCUGGUCUGAGAGGACGACCAGCCACACUGGGACUGAGACAAGGGCCAGACUCCUACGGGAGGCAGGAGUGGGGAAUAUUGGACAAUGGGGGAAAGCCUGAUUCAGCCAUGCCGCGUGUAUGAAGAAGGCCUUCGGGUUGUAAAGUACUUUCAGCAGGGAGGCGUUACCUGCAGAAGAAGCACCGGCUAACUCCGUGCCAGCAGCCGCGGUAAUAC
rnacentral:rRNA from 1 species